UUCAAGCCUAUGCGCAGUACAAGUCUAUGCGCAGUACAUAUUUCGAUCUGCUCUUGUUUUUUUCUUCCACUGAUCUACAAGCCUACAUGCAGUACCUAAUCUUCAAGAUUUCUUUUGGUCUUCGAGAUUCGCUUUAAGAGCUUCUUUCAGUCGAUUCCAGUUUCGUGUUUUUGCUCCAGUUCCUGGCCUGAACACUGAUGGCUUCAUAUCUCGGUACUCUCCUCAGUCUGAUGGUACAAAAGCUUCUCCCAACGGUUCUAGAUCCCGUUCAUCUCCUUUCGCUAACCCCUAUGAGUUUCAGUCAGCGUACCAGACGUCUCCCUUUGUCUCGAGAUUUGCAGUGCCAACUACCCGGUUCCAUUCUGGUUUGAAAGCUUAUAUGCUGGUCCCUUCUUUGGGUGGUGGUUGUUUAGAACUCUUCAGAUCUGUGAGUUCAAAAAUUCUUAUUUCUUCACAAGUCUUCUUUGUUGACCAGAAUGGUGAAGUUAAGGGUUUUGUAUCUCAUUCUGUUUGCAUUGUCAAACUUUCUCCCAAUUCCAAUUCUGAAAACGAGUGUUGUUUUGUUUGAGAAGAACCAAUUUUCACCAGUUGGCAUUGAUAUCUCUGAAAAAUCAGUUUCUGUCCUAAGUCUUUAUAGCCUCUUGCUCAAAUUAGGUUCUAGAUUCAAGUGUAUUGGAGAUUCUUAUGGGCCAAUUGCCAGUUGGAUGGAUUCAGCUAUUUCUAGGUUAUUUUCCAUUGAGAUAGAGUCUAAAACUUAUGGUCUGAAAGAAGGUGCGGAGAAGAUUGCGAAAGUUUUUGGCGCUAUUGUUUGGGCCUCGAUUGCUGCGCUUGUUAGUUUCAUUUGGGCUGGUCGUGGUGUAUCUUUGAGUUUACUGAAAGAGGGACUUGAUUCUCUCUAUCUUUCUUUUAGAAAUCUUGAUGAUAAGGUUAUUCAGAUAACUAAAACGCAGGAUGUUUUGGUCAAGUUUAUGCAAGAGCAAUCAUCCAGGACACAUUUCACCAAGGAGCAAGCAGCCAUCUUGCACAAAUUUGCAGUGUCAUAUAUACCUCGUUGUGGUCCUUUUUUUAGGGAAUAAUUUCUGUUUUUGCGAUGUAAAGCCGGUAUAAUUUCUGUUUUUGAGUGAAACUAGGCCUGCCUUUUGUUACAUGUUGGAGAAAUUGUUCUAAUAUUAGAUUUUUGUGGUUUUGGCGUUUCCGCAAUUCCAUUUCUCUCUCUAAAUGUUUCCGAGUGUAUGUGUUUUGCUGAUUAUUUAGUACCCUCCCAUACAUGAUAACCUGUGUUUGCAUGUUGAUAUGUCUUAUAAAUAUUUCACCACAUCCGCUUCAAACAUAUAGGAAAUGAAAUCUUUCUAUAUCUUUAGCAUUAUAUACCAAGCAAAUCUGGCAAAAAAUAUGUUUUGACGAGAUUUUCCCUGUGGAUCAAAGAUGUAAGUUGAUACAAAUCAUAUUAACAUGGUAAAGUGAAGAUUGCAGCUUAGUGCAGGUGAUGGUCAUUAACAAUUCUCUUUUGGCUUUUAGUAGUCAUUCAACUUUUGGAUAGUCUCUCUUCUGGUUUGCAUUAAAUAACUCAUGCAACUUCUGGUUUAUACCAGAUACUCUUUCAACGGCCAGCAUGAGCCUUGAACAGGCUAAAGACGAAAUUAACAGAUGGGAAUAUUGUGCUCAGUCAAAAUCGAGAGUGAGGAGGAGAUGCUAGUUCUGCAAGUGGGUGUACUAAGAUUGAUUUAUUGCUGAAGAAAUAUUGUAAGAAUUGCAGAUUGUAACUUCAACAUGUGUGGGUAACUUACAAAAUAGAUGGAAAAAGUAAUAAGAUCUUAUUGAUUGUUUAGAUGAUUCUGUUUUCAGAACUAUGUUGUUCUUACCAGCAGGAAAGAGCGAAGUCCCUUCAACUACCAACUCAUAUCACCGUUGAUGCCGCAAAAACAUAGAUCACUCCAACUGAGUUUCCAUAGUUACUGUCAUCUGGAAAUCAAGCCACUCUCAAACCUUAAAUCCUACCUAACAAUAGUCUGUCAAAAGAAGAAUCUAAUGUGCUACUUGUUCUGUUCUUUUUUUUUUUUCAGAUUCAAGGACAGUAAUGGCUAGUCUUGGUAAAAUUAUUAUCAUCUUUGAGAGGAGAUGAGUUAAAUAGUAGCUAAUAUCAUAUAUUGUAGAUACAAGUUGAAUAUUUUAAUAAGAGACUGCAUGACCGGUUGAUAACGUUGAUGAAGUAACAGGUGGACUAAAGCUUAUGUAAUAACUCUUGGAUUCGACAUUACCACAGUCUGGCAGAAGGGGAGAACAUGUUAAGUGGCUCCAAAUUUUUCGAUUUCUCGGUGACAGAUCUGUUUUCCCUUCUUAUUAACCAUUAUUGAGAAUUGUUUUUUCGAGUAGAUAAAUCUGUAGUUACAUGAAUCUGGACAAUUGUCUUACUAGAAGAUAAUCUAAUAACAAUAUUUCCUGAUUAUCCAGUUCAUUUGAAAAUACAGAGUCAGUUUUGAUG